rnacentral:lncRNA from 1 species
CAAAGUCAGGCACAGAAGAAGAGCCUGUAGGCGGGGAGCGCCAGCGUCUUAAUCACUUCUCAGUCUUCCAGGCGAAGCUUCCAGAGGUGGGGAGCAGAACACCUGCAUGUUUGGUCUGGAAAGGACUGAAACCCCUCCAUGAGGCCUCCUGCUCUCCCAUGUGCCCAAGCCCUCCAGGGGCUGGGCUGCUGAGACCAUUGACCUUCCCUGGUCCUCUUGACUUUCUGUCCCCUUGGCCCUUCUUCCUGGGGGUUGGGACGGCCCAGAAGUUUCCCACCAGUAGGCCGCAGCUCAUGCCCCACACCAGGGACCCCUGGCACACUCUCCUGACCCUCCUCUGUGCUUUGCAGACGAACUGUGCCCUAUGGACUGUCCAACUACAGAGGAAGCUUCCGGGGCAAGAGAUCCUUGGGAUUGUCCCCAGGGAGUGUGCAGCCCUCGCUGGGGAUACAUUCACGCUGUGCUUGUGUGGGGAUAGAUGACAAGGCCUGCCUACGCUUCUGCACACAAACCCUGGACGUCAGCAGGUAUGACUCCCUCCAGUAGCGCUCAUUCCCAGGUGCACGUCACUGAGGGAUGAGGCCAAACCAGGGGCUUCCUGAAGGUAGGUUGACUCAGCCCUGGCUGCUGUGGUCCUGGGACCAGGGAAAGAAGAGACUGAGUCCAGAGGCUGUGGGCACUCAGCUUCCAAAGGGCGGGUGGUGUGGCUUCCUCAGCACUCAGUGCCCUGGAGAACCAGGCCCUCAGGCCAGGGCUCAGUUGUCUGUCUUCUGGCCUGAGCAGCACUUUAGACAAAUCAGAAUAAUUUUUCAACAUAAAAGGUGGAAGAAUUGACUGCCUGGCCCUGCAUAGUUUUAGCUUCCUCGCAAACAGCACCCGUGGCCUCAGGUCUCACUGCUCCACUUUCCAAGGGGUGUGAAGGAUUCAUUUGCCUGGGUUACAUUUUCGUUGUCUGGAGGCCCUUGAAUUCGAGACCCUGUGGUCUGCUCUAUCCUCUUAGAGAAGCUCGUGCAUUCAUUCUAAUAGAGUCAGUGAGCAGACCCCAGACUCUACCCAGGUAUUCAUGAAACAGUUGCUCCUGUUAACAGUCUUUACUACCGUUUCUCUUCACUUUGGGCCAAGACUCAACCCAGCUGCACAUAGCAGCCCUUCAACAACCCUGCCCAUAACUAGUGAGGGGUGUUGUGACUUAUGUAAAAGCAGCCUGAACAGGGUGCCCCCAGGGCAGGGCAGGCACCAAAGCAGUCGGAUCCCAGGAUUGCUCUCCAGAAAGCUUGAUGUUAACUCCAUUUCCUUCCCUUUUCUGUGUUUUUGAACAUCUGAUGAGUAGCAGGGCUGAGUGGAUGCUGUACUUGGUUAGGCAUCAGCCCAUGAAGCUCUCAGCCUCCAGAAAUCAUGCCUGAGAUAUGCUCCUUGGGGCACAUGCUAAGGGCUUGUUGGCAGGAAGAGGAGGUCAUCAUUUGACACGAAGAAAUCAGUCACUUGGAAAUGCAGGUUGAUUCAUUCAAACCAGCCUUCUCCCCACAGAAAUUCCAGGACAGCAGAAAACCCAGACGAAGAAGAGAAAGAGAGGGCCAGAGGGGCCCGCGGAGGCCUGCAUCAAAGGUGAAGAUGGGGGUGCGGCCCUUCAUGGAGGAGAGGGUGUGUUGGGGGGUGGCCAGUGGGACCCCAGAACUUGGGGUGAGGGCUCUAUCCACAGACUGCUGCAAACAGUGCAGCCAAUCUAGCAGGUUCCAGAGAAGGGUGAAGGACGAUAAGAAAGAUAAGAUUCAUGGACUCAGAUUUGAAGAUAAAGCUGGGAUCAGGUGGAGUGCUGCUCUCUGAUGGAGAAGCAGGUCUAAAGAAUUACACCAGCAACCUUUAUUUAUCUAUGUCUCAUUAAUCAAAUUAAAGACUCUGCAAGCAUUAUUCUUUGUAUUCAUGAAAGUUACAGAGUUAGCAACAUUAUGCACUUAUUCUACAUUUGCAAUGUGCAAUGUUAGGAGCUUUGUGUAGCUCUCAAGAAAGUCCAUUGUUACUGUUAUGCAGGUAGGUUCAGAAGCAGCAGAGCUGAUGAAACAUUGUGGUUAUCUAGCAAGAAAGUUCCUUUAUUCCCAGGAGCUGAGUGUCUGAGAUCAAGGUCAAGGCUGAUAAGACUCUAGCACAGUGCCUCCUGAUGGAGGACAUUACCAUAGCAGCUAGGCAUCCUGUACCUUUGCAUACAAACUUUCCCAGGCACCAAGUAUGUCAGAGCCAGGAGGUCAUCAGAGAUCCCAAUCUCAGACACUGCUCUUCCAUUCUGUGGCAUCGCUCUAAUUCCAUUCUGUGGCAUCACUCUCCACAAGAGACAACAGUGAUUUUCCGUUGGUGAACUCUGGGGGCGGGCAGUCUGAAGCUGUGGACAGUCAUUGUCCUUCAGGACCUUGGCUGCCUGUAGUCUUAAGAGCCAGCCUCUGCAUCCCUCUCAGCUCCAGGGCAGUGAUGUCCGGUGUGGGUUUUACUGGGCCUGAGAAAGUCAGCUGAUCCUCAGGGAUCCUGCAGGCUGGCCUGCUCAGGCCAGUGUCUCCCUCUGCUUUUGUAGCAGCACGACUCCCCCCACCCCACCUCCAAAAAGCACGUCUCCUUUGCAGCAGCUGAUCCUGGACAAAAGUAAAGUUCAGCUUGGCAGCAGCUCCAGAUUCCCUAGUUCAUUUUAUUAUUAUUUUUUAGCUUGCUUGUCUUUUUUGUGUGAGAAAUCCUGAGGGUUUCCUGCAGCCAGACCGGGUUUAUUUGUCAUUCUAUCAAUCAGAAAUCAUUAUUAAUGACUUGCCUGCACAUCUGCAAUGGAUGGUAAUUUAUGUUCAUAAUGAUAGCCUGGAGGUGGCUUCGGUGCCUACGGGGACUGAUCAAGGGAAGUCAAGCCAUGCUCAGGAUACAGGAGACUCUCUAAAUUGGUGGCAGAUCACUUUCAGGGGCCCGGAGAGGGAUCUGUCAGCAUCCAUAAUAAAAAUGGUGAGGGAGGAGGGGGGCGGAGGUGGUGGGGAGUCCCAGAAGAGUGAGUCAGACCCCAACAGGCUCCCACUUGGCCUCUUUGUUCUUUAUCCUGUCUCUCCCCCCGACCCCAAACCAAAACUUCUCUCUGUGGGGAUGAGUGUGAUUAAAAUCACCCACCGUGAAACCAUGUAUUCAUUCACUCAUGCCUUCAUUCUGCAAAGGUUUGUUGAGCACCUGCUGCAGGAUGGGCACUGUUCUAGAUGUGGGGGACAUAGCAAGGGGACCAAGGAGAGGGACUUCUUUAAGAAACUCAGAUGUAGCAGGGAGUGCAGGUGAGAGGAGGGGUUGGAGAGUCAGCAGGGAUAGGAGGUGUUGGGGCAGCUGCAAGUUAUGGUUGAUGGACAGGCACAUGAUCACAGACCAGGUGACUUGGGAACAGAAGGAAGUGAGGGGUGAGCCACAGGGCUGAGUGAGGGAGCUAUGUUUUGGGCAGAGGGAACAGGAAGUGCAAAGGCCCAACAGACAGCCAAUAAGGGAGCCCUGUAAGAAGCUUUCCUUGGGAAGAAAGGCAGUUACCAAGCCAAAGUCCUGUAUUCUUGCAAGAUUUGAGUUGGUGACGUUUAUAUCCAUUCUCAGAGUAGUAGCUUCUACCAUCCUCAUCUGGUGAUCAGCCCAGAUGGGACCAGGCCAUAGGACCAGGCUACGGGAGGGCUCCUUUGCAGCCAACCUGCGGUACUAUUCCCUCCACACCUUCCCACUCAGAUUGCAGGCUGUGAAAUGCCAAUAAGCUCUGGUGAGGGGGGUGGUUCAUGCCAGGGAACAGCUGGAGACGGGGCAGGAGGAAGUUACCUUUUCCAGCUUGAGAAAGCCCUUAUUAUUUAGUAAUACACCUCUGUUUUCUUUUUCCCCCUUUGCUCACGAUAGGUUGAAGUCCAGGACAGACACAACACGGAGCCCUUAGGUGGCCGCCACGGAUGCUUGCUCUCCGCGUGGACUUCCUCCCUGCCUUCCCUGCCUGCUCACUAUAUCAUCCUGUAAGGAGCCAUUGCUCUCCACAGUUAACAUUUCCACCUCUUUAGGGACAAGGGGUGAAUUUGUCUGGGGCAGAAAACCCACCCAAAGAGUCCCCAGUUGACAAUACACCCUUACUCCAAGAAUGCCCCAAUCCAAGUGACCCCAGUUUCCCUAAUGGGUAAAAUGAUCCCAGAUGUGCCUGGGCCCAGACGCCCUCGGCUCUUGUUUCAGGCAGGAAAUUGUUUUUGGAGAGGCAUGGCAAGCUGGAAAGUCACUCACUGGCUUUUGACAUGACUCCUCUUGGAGAGUAAGUGGAUGCCAGGCAGGCUCUUUGCAAAUGUAAACAUGUGUCCAUCUUGUAGUAGAUGUGCAAGGCCGGUGUGGCCAGGGCAUGUCAACCUCUGAAGGCUGCAGGCUGAAUUAGGAGGCGAGGAGUUGGGGUGAGCCUGGGCCAGAGGUACACAGUAGUUUGAAGCCUGUAGGACUGAGACAGAAAUUUUUAGCCGUGCUUGGUACCCAUCAAAGUAUGUAUCAAGAAAGAAAGAAAGGAAGGAAGGAAGAAAAAAAGGAACUCUGAUGUUUGUGAGAAGAAAAGGAGAAAUUGAUGUCUGAUGGUUUUGAACUCUGGGCUCCACAGAGCUCAUUCUUGGCCCAUAGGCUGGACGUCAUGUCCCUUUUAGACACUAGGCCCAUAGCGGCAGAGUUCUCCAGCUUGGUUUGCAAGAAGCUGGCUGUGGAGUCAGCCCCAGCUCCAGGUUAUUAGGAGGAGUAUUUGCUUUCAUGCAUAAAUGUGGAUCUUUGGAGAGUGGUUUCAAAAUAAGCCAUGAACACAAACUGCAAAUUAUGUAAAUUCCUAUUUAUCUAUAUAAUUGGCAACAACUGGGAAUUGUAACGCCUGGUGGUUCAAGAUCUCUGCAGCUGCGCCCUCUCUGCUGUGCUGGGCUCACAGUGAGAGAGGGGCUGUGACUUGGCCACGGAAAGCUGUCUACUUGGGCAGGUGGGGAGGGUAUCACUCCCAAUGGGCCGUAGAACAAGGAGAAGCUACCUGUGAGUAGGGGCAAGGGCACCUUCCAGGGAAGUUCAGAUGGCUCAUGGUGGAGUGCUGGCCUUGUCUGGACACGAGACUCUGGGGGAGCCUCCAUCUAUCCCUUAUUCUAGGAGUAAGGUGCGUAUCCAUCAUGAGAGAGUGCAGGAGACCAACUUACUGGAGGAAUUCUGUACAGUUUAAGAGAAACGAUUAUUUAUUGGGGAACUAUUCUCUCCUCCAGCUCUUUUAUGGGAUCUGUUAAAAGUAAAGUCACUGUACAUAUAUAGAUUUUCAAUUGUGUUCUGAAUCCAAACUCAUAUUCCUUAGAGCUUGAAUUACGUUUUUAAGUGUGCAUGUGCUGUCUGGCACUGUACAAGAUGGUAUCUGGGAGAGGAAUUCACUCAUUGUACCAACACUCAGUAAAUACUGUCAAAUGCAUAAUAAAAAACCUAAAAGUUUGCUCUGAU